rnacentral:rRNA from 1 species
CUCGUAGGCGUUUCGAAAAUGAAUCAAAACUUUCAACAACGGAUCUCUUGGUUCUGGCAUCGAUGAAGAACGCAGCGAAAUGCGAUAAGUAAUGUGAAUUGCAGAAUUCAGUGAAUCAUCGAAUCUUUGAACGCACAUUGCGCCCGCCAGUAUUCUGGCGGGCAUGCCUGUCCGAGCGUCAUUUCAACCCUCGAACCCCUCCGGGGGGUCGGCGUUGGGGAUCGGCCCUCCCUUAGCGGGUGGCCGUCUCCGAAAUACAGUGGCGGUCUCGCCGCAGCCUCUCCUGCGCAGUAGUUUGCACACUCGCAUCGGGAGCGCGGCGCGUCCACAGCCGUUAAACACCCAACUUCUGAAAUGUUGACCUCGGAUCAGGUAGGAAUACCCGCUGAACUUAAGCAUAUCAAUAAGCGGAGGGAAAGAAAACCAACCAAUU